CGUAACAAGGUUUCCGUAGGUGAACCUGCGGAAGGAUCAUUG
rfam:Hordeum vulgare subsp. vulgare, WGS project CAJW01000000 data, contig: morex_contig_1533436